AAGAGUAGAUACUUGUGCUAACUGGUUUUUAUGUCAACUUUAUACAAGCUAGAGUCACCUGGGAUGCAAGACUCUUCACCAAGAAAAUGCAUUCAUAGGAUUGGCUUAUCUAUGCAAGUCUGUGGGUCACUUUUUUUUUUUUUCCCUGAUGAUUGAUGUGGGAGGUCCCAACCCCAGUGAGCAAUGCCAGACCUGGGCAAGUGGUCCUAGAAUGUUUAAGAAACAAACUGAGCAAGCCAGCCAUGAGGCACAGGCUAGAGAGCAGCGCUCUUCCAGGCUGCUGCCUCUAGGUUUCUAUCUUGCUCGAGUUCCUGACCUAACUUCCCUAGAUGAUGGACUCCAAGCUUUAAGAUGAGAUAAACCCUUUCCUGUCCAGGUUACUUUUGGUCGUGGUGUCUUAUCACAGCAAUUAAACCCUAAGAUAACACUGCGUCUGUUACUUUAGUACUUAGGUCCGGUGCUGAACCUGUCUGGCCCAAAUGAGGUACUUUGUAAAUAUUUACUGACUCACAUUGCAACUAUGGUGUUCUUACAAGCUGUCAGGCAAACUAAUCAAUAGGCAGAUACCAGACAGAGAUAGCAGAGGUAAGAUUCCUUUGGCCCGACUCUCGUCUCUCUUAACCCAGUAAAUAAACUAAUAUUUCUGCCUUUCACACUUUUCAGUUUAGUUGUUUGUUUGUUUUCUCCCUCUGUAUUUUGAGACAGGGUCUCUUGUCGCUUUUGCUGGCCUUGGAGUCACAACAUAGCCAAGGAUAAUCUUGAAUUCCUGAUCUUCCUGCCUCUCUAUCCUGAGUGCUAGUAUUAUAGACCUGAAGUGCUGUGUUCCACUUCUCAGGUUGUCCACUAAGCCUGAAGUGGAAACUUUCUUUCUCUAGCUGUGUCUCAGGCUUAAAAAUCUCAUUAUCUAGUAAGAUCCAUUUAAAAUCCUUUCUCUUUGAGGAGCCUGUAUCUGUCUUGGAGAUAUUACUUUGCCAAUACCACAGCACAUUUAUAGGGUCUCUCUCUCUCUCUUCCUCUCUCUCUCAUUUUGGAGAACUGGAGCUCGACAAAGCUCCUGCAGAAUCUUAAUUGCAGGACUUCAUAGCACCUGUGUAUGUUUAGUCUUCAGGUCACCUUCACAACUCCCCCUGGGCAGCCUGUCUUGAACAGAUUUCAAACUUUACCUCCUUAUUAAUGUACCAUGAACACGGCAGGCAGCGUGUUCGUUCUACAAGGCAAACUCCUGGUAUACACUGCAGAUGGAGGGGCUUUAAAGUAGUAAACCAUGUCGGAAAGUUGUGUAGUUACAUAUGUGUCUUCUCUAUGAUCCAGUGCCUUCUCCUUCUUACAUUCAAACAAGAGAGAUGAAAAUACAUGCCCCAAAGAGUCUCAAAUAGGCUUAUCUUCAGCAGCCUUCUUCAUGACAGCCCCUUGUGGAAAGAGCGUAAGCGUACAUCAGUGGUUGGCAAGGUAAACAGAUUUUGCUAAAUCUGUAUUAGCCUGACUCGAGCUGAGAGAGAUAUACAGACCAGACAGGACAGACAGACAGAAAGCUCUAGAACAUCACUCAUUAUAAAUGAACAAUGUGGACAAAUCUCAAUAUUGUUUUGAGCGAUGGCUUUCGCGUGUGUGCAUAUAGCUACCAAAGCUGGUAGAAUUGCCAGCAUCAAGACUUGGCAUUCUAUGGCGCGGCACUUACCUCUUGACUAUCGCCUCGGUGAGAGAUGGAUUUGAAACAGGAUGCCAGCGAUAAUUGUGUCUCUGGAAUCCUUGUCUCUGGACUCCUCAGCAAAUUGCCUAAGUGUCUGCUUUAGUUUCCUCAUCUGCAGAGUGAGAAGGAAAUCAGAAUCGACCACAGAAAGCUGCUGGGAGACUCAAGCGCACUUGCCUGUUUGGGUUACAUUUGUAUCAAUUAAAAUGUUAGAGUAAACCAUGCUGAUCUUCAAGACAAUAGCUCACCUGCCCUCAUCCCUGCUGCUCAACCACCUCAUCUCCGCUGCUCUCUACUACCCAAGAGUCUCCAGGGCAGAAUUUGUUAAAGACAAUAUUUGGUCACCAAGAGAAUGGCCAGACUCAGGUUCUAAUCUUGAUGGUUUUAAAUUUCUUACACAAGUGGGUCCCUUCCCUCCCCACUUCUUUGUCAAUUUGUUGAGUAUUUGUCCUGUAUGGCAUCACAAUUAUUUUCUCCGUUAUCAUCAUUACAGCGCUUGGCAGCAGGUGGGAUGUAUUCCCUGCGUUGCCAAUAGCAUUAGAAGCCUUUGCAGAGGAAAUCUUUAAAAACCAAUUCAAUAGUGGUUGCUCAAAGAAUUGUUGAUGUUCAUUUUAUAUUUGCAGAGAGCUAACAGGACACCCUAGCGCUCAGAGGGGGGUCAUCAGAUCACCUCUCUUUAUUCAAACCAUCCUUUUAUUUUAUGUGAGGAAAUUAUAAAUGACCUAAAGUGCUUGAGCUGGGGAGGACAGCAUGGCUCAGUGCUGGGAUGAUAAAGACACUCUAGAAGAUGGGAAUGGCACGCAAUAUGCAGACCAUAGGACUCCUGACCCUGCUGCUCUGAUUCCGUGUUCAAGCAGUGCAGGAAGGAUAGGAUCUUUGAUUAAGGCAUAGAUGUGGUUAUAGUGACUGCAUCUUGGAGUAGAGAAACGAAAGGGGCCUCCCAUUUGCUGAGUGGUUUGAUGAAGUGUUUGGGCUCGCUUUGGUGGAAAAGAUGAUCUUAUUCAUUUGGGGCUCAGAAGGGAAAAAUUCAAGAUUGUCAAGUGUGUCACGAACAAAAAGGGUGCAGAUGGCCCCGGACUGACUUUUGGUUAUUAUCCUAAUGCUAUUUUUACACUGGAAGAUGAAUAUAGGCUGAUGAGCCUUUGCACAAAUGUGUGGUUCGCUUCUUUUGAUUGAAGUAUCUCCGUUUGUACUUGCGUGCCCUUUACUGACAGUGGCUUGCUGGUGGUUUAUGCUUUUGCCAGUGUAUCUUCGUAGCCGACACACCCCAACCCUCACCACCUUUGUUUUUCAUUAAGGAGAAUCCCAGUCAUGUCAUGGAAGUGUUCAGCUGUUGCCACAGUGUGUCCCCUCACCAAGAAUGAAGUGACGUGGGGAAGGUUUAUUUUUGUGGUUUUGAUUGGAUGAUUCCCAUGUGUGUGCUGUCUUGGCUCCCUCAAAAUUCUGUCACCAGUGGCCCAGAAGUGAUGAAAUGAGACCAGGGCAUCCUUCUUUCUUUUCUUCUUUUCUCUGGGACUCAUUUUACACAUCUAUAAAAUGGAUCCAUUAGCUUAUAUUUUGAACAAAAGAAGACACAAUAAUGAUCACAGUAAUUACUGAUCAAUUAAGGGAAUUCUUUUUCUUUUAGCAACAAAUGUACCCAGUGUUUGAAUGCAUUUUUCAGGGUACAGUUACGAGAUAAAGUUUCCUUUGUUUUAUUUCCUUCCUAUAACAAACCUUUCUUAAAGGCCUAGUCCUACCUAUGGAUAAAGUGUGAUAAGAUGUUGCAAACAAGACAUGAUUAGUUGGGGGAUUUUUCUGCUCAAGUCACCUGAACUAUUCUUUAUUCAGCAGCUGUUAUCAUUGUGACUCACAGAGGCAGGCAUGAUGCCAGGCAUGGUGGAUCUUACUGGGGUGUGUCUGGAAGAUCAGAAGUGACCCUUUACAGGGGAACAUACAACAUUAAUACCUUUCUUACAUUAAAGAACAUUUGAAAUUCCAGCACGCUGGAGGUCAAGGCAAGAGAAUCAGGAGCUCAAGACCAGCUUUGGGCACAGGGGCCGUGAGGCCACUAACCACAGUCCCUGUCUCUGAGUCACUGAAAACUUAAACGUGAGAGCAGAGGAACCACAAGUGCUGUGCCUGAGGAUGUGGCAGGUAGAGUUUUUAUUAGGUGCACACAGGAAGUGAAUUCUGGGAGAGCGGAAAAGCAUGGGACACAGACUGUGGACCACAGGGCAGGUGCUGAUCCACAGGAGGCCGCUGUGCACACCAAGUGUAGCAUGCACAGGGCCGGAGUUUAGAGUGUACAGUUCACAAGUGUAAGGCCGAAUAGUGAGUGCUCCUUGGCUUUGACUUUGUUGUUCUAUUCAUUUACACAUACACAUGUGCACACACGCUCAUGCACACAUGCACAUACAGACAUACACAUGUACACACCUACAUGUACACACAGGCUCAUACAUGUACACACAUGUACACACAUGCAAACACAUGCACACACAGGUACACACUUGUACACAUACAUGUACACACACGCACAUGCAAACGCAUGCACACAUGGACACACAUGGACACACAGUGCACACAUAUACACACAUAUACAUACAUACAUACACACACACAUGCAUACACAUGCACAUACACAGAGCAGAGAGGGGCAGGGGUGAGAGGGAACCUGUCUGCCUGUCCAGGUGGGGAUGCUUGGGAGUCGGUUGUCUCCUCCCACUAUGCGUGAUCUAGGGUGGAGCCCAUCAUCUCUUUAUUUUGGUUUCUUUUGAGUCCAGGCUUCAGCCUGGCUUAAAGUCAUGGUCUCCUGCUCCAGCUCCCAAGGGCUAAUGUAACAGACAUUCACCUCUGUACCCUGGUACAAUGUCUUGAGUGUUGGCUUCCCAGACAGUUGGAAUAACAUCUCCUGCCCAGGAGAUAAUUCUGUAGAUGCACAAGAGCAAAUAGGAGGUUCUACCCCAGAGCGAGCUGGAGAGCAGUUGCUUGUGUGGAGUAUUCUAGUUUCAUGUACUAUGGGGAUUUAUUUUUAGGAAUUUUAAAUUUAUUUUAGAUUAACC
rnacentral:lncRNA from 1 species